AUUUAUUAUUAGUAUACACGUCAAUACAAACCAAAAGUAGUGUAUGUUCUUCCGUUUUCGAGAAUAGCAUUGCGAAUUUGUUGUGUAAUGUGGUCGGUGUACAAAAUGGAAUCAUGAAUGUACAACCGGGUGAUGGCCAUGAAGAAUUAAGCCAGAUAUUUUCGGUGUUUGUCAAUACGUUUAUGACGACGAGAUAUGGACACCAGUGGAGGGAGAGAGGGGUGCAGAUACGACCGGCUGACUGGAUGUGGAUGGCUUUUGGAGCAUUGUGUGGCGUGAUGGCCUUCGUAUUUGGGAUUUUUUACACUCUUGUUACUGAUGUAUGCUCCUCCUCGUUUAAAGAAGACGGGAUUUUCAGAGAAAUUUCAUAUAUUUACCGCAAAUUAACGUCCGUUAGGUAGUUGUAAAUAUGUAAUCUAAUUAAUGUAAAAUGGAUCAAUGGAUAUAAAUAGAUGCUUUUUUAAACAGUCA